ACGGAAGGCAGCAGUGGGGGAUAUUGCACAAUGGGGGAAACCCUGAUGCAGCGACGCCGCGUGAGCGAUGAAGUAUUUCGGUAUGUAAAGCUCUGUCUUCAGGGACGAUAAUGACGGUACCUGAGGAGGAAGCCACGGCUAACUACGUGCCAGCAGCCGCGGUAAUACGUAGGUGGCAAGCGCUGUCCGGAUUUACUGGGCGUAAAGGGAGCGUAGGCGGACUUUUAAGUGGGAUGUGAAAUACCCGGGCUCAACCUGGGUGCUGCAUUCCAAACUGGGAGUCUAGAGUACAGGAGGGGAAAGCGGAAUUCCUAGUGUAGCGGUGAAAUGCGUAGAGAUUAGGAAGAACACCGGUGGCGAAGGCGGCUUUCUGGACUGUAACUGACGCUGAGGCUCGAAAGCGUGGGGAGCGAACAGGAUUAGAUACCCUGGUA
rnacentral:rRNA from 1 species